rnacentral:rRNA from 1 species
CCUACGGGUGGCAGCAGUGGGGGAUAUUGCACAAUGGGGGAAACCCUGAUGCAGCGACGCCGCGUGUGGGAAGACGGUCUUCUGGAUUGUAAACCACUGUCCCCAGGGACGAAAAUGACGGUACCUGGGGAGGAAGCUCCGGCUAACUACGUGCCAGCAGCCGCGGUAAUACGUAGGGAGCAAGCGUUGUCCGGAAUUACUGGGUGUAAAGGGAGCGUAGACGGCAGCACAAGUCUGGAGUGAAAUCCCGGGGCUUAACCCCGGAACUGCUUUGGAAACUGUGCGGCUGGAGUGCAGGAGGGGUAAGCGGAAUUCCUAGUGUAGCGGUGAAAUGCGUAGAUAUUAGGAGGAACACCGGUGGCGAAGGCGGCUUACUGGACUGUAACUGACGUUGAGGCUCGAAAGCGUGGGGAGCAAACAGGAUUAGAUACCCCGGUAGUC